AUCACCUGAUGAUGCCUGAAAACAGACUGUGUUUCUGUCAAUAAUCCAGAUUUGCAGAGAAUAUUACCUUUCUGAAAGGGAAAGACUCUGAUUUUCUAAAUAGGAUUUUCUCCAUUUCUGACAUACCUCAGCUGGACGACAGCACUUUUGUAGAAGUUGUGAUUUACAGCGGGAGAACAAUUGGCAAGCUCAGAAGUCAUAUGAAGAGAGUGCCAUUUCUGUAGCUGAAGAUGAAUUGUCAAUCAGCACUGAUGGGUCUUUGAUGGCUGGUGGCUACUCCUUAAUGGACAUAUCCCAACCUGCUUGUGAAGAAAACAGCUUGGACAUUUGAAUGUAUCCAGUGAAAGAGACAGAAGGCUUGAGUUUUUGCAG